AUCUCACCUUAAUUCCUCCCUCAAAUUCACGCCACUUCCUCCCCUAAUCUCUAUCAAAUAUUCAUGCCAUUAAUCUCCCAAAUCUUCAAUUAAUGGUAAAUUAUUCUAUUCCUUAAUCCUAUAAAUAAAGGAACAACUCCUAACCCUAAACCCCACCUCAAAUCACACGCCUCCCACCACAAAUCACACGCCCCUCCCACUUUUCAUCUCCUCUCCCACUUGUUCAUCCACUCCACUCAAAAUCCUUUCGAUUCGCCAAGAGUUUGUCGAAGAACCAAGAGUUUUAAUCGUCUCUACCGAUUGUUUUGUUCAAGAAAGGUGAAAAUUCGUGCGCUAAACGUGAUAUCAAAGGGAAAGCGAUACUUGAAAUCUAAACGGUCGAGGUUGAGCAGCGACGAGCGGUUGGUGGUGUUGAGCAGGAAUUAAUAACAAACUAUGGUUGUUCUUAAACUCCGAAUGUCGUUGUGUCUUCACACAUGACGUCACUCUUCUCUUGGAUGCUUCCGCUGUGAUGUUUUAUUUUCUCUACUUAUAUUUAUUUUUCCUGAAACUUUUUGAUGAAAUGUUGAAAACUCGUUAUCUUUUGAAUAAUGUCAAACCUUUGGUCUUUCAUUUAUUAAACAUAACUACCUUUAGUCUUUUUAAUUA